ACAGUUCAUUAAUCAUCCUAUUAAAAAUGACCUUUUCAAUAAUGUUUUACUUAAAAAAAGUAUUCUAAUAUGAAUUUAUAGGCCCUUAAUACAUUGCAAAUAAAACGAUUUGAAGAUAUCCCACAUAUUUAGAUAAGGCUUUUAGGAUUGCCGCAGAAAAAAAAUGUUCAAAAAAAUAAUAUUUAAAAAAAAAAGCUCAUUCGUAAGUGGUACAUUUUGUUCAAUAGGCAUGUUGUAACUUUGUUUUGUUAUAUAACUAUAAUUCAAAGCUC